CUAGUACGCACGCGCCCGAGUAGCGACUACAGCCGCUGAAGCGGUACAUCCAGUUAAGAUCUCCUGUACUUUUUAGAUUCACCUGUACAUUCAUUCCAGCCGGGAGAUCAAGUGUAUCUUCGGACCUGGAAGGACGAGCCAUUGGUAGAAAAGUGGAGGGGACCGUAUCUUGUACUGCUAACAACAAAUACUGCUGUGAAACUGCAGGGAAUUGAUUCCUGGAUCCACUACACCCGAGUGAAAGCAGUACCUCGAGAGACGUGGAAAGCUGAACAAGUUCAACCUCUAAAGUUAAAAAUAUAUAAAGAUAUAUGAGUUGUAUUGGAAGCGAAUCGGUUUUAAAUUUAGAUUGUAUUCAGGAAAGAAUUGCUUUAAUCUGUUUGUUAGGAAUAGGGUUAAUAUUGUUGUUAUGGUAUCUAUGGUAUCUGUGUAAAAAUGAUGUUCUCCCAAAUAACCAGGGGAGAAAUGUGGUGGUUAGUUUUUCUAAGUUACCUGAGCCAAACAAUUAAAGGGAAUCAGGAAGGAUUUUGGAGCCAUAAUCUCCAUUUGGAAGUAAUUACGAAAUCUAUGAAGAUAAUUAACCAGAAGGAUUGCUGGGUGUGUACCCACUUCCCUGAACAUUCCAACAAGGGCUUCCCCCUAAUUGGAGUGCCUCUUAAUUUUUCCUUUAUGGAAUUUAUGAAACAGAUAAGAAAUGAUAGUGAUCAAACGAAAUAUAAUGAAACAACCGAACAGGAAUGGGAAGUCCAGAGUGUGACAGGAGAUUAUUCAACCGAUCAACUGUACUGGAGCCAUUAAGGUGGGAGGUUAUAAAAAUUGCUCUCAUAUACCUGAAAUAGGUUAUAAGUGGCCAAGUAAGGAACUAAAUGGGUGGCGUGUUCCCAAAGGUAGUGGAUGGUAUUGGUUGUGUGGGAACAAGGCACGAAAAGUGCUACCUCCUAAUUGGUCAGGGACGUGUACUUUAGGGGCAAUAAUCCCUAAUGUUACUAUAAGAAAAGAAUUGAGUAAUAAAUAUCAAAAAUCCUGGCUAAGAACAUUCAUGAGGAGACAAAAGAGGGUCAAUAAUCCUUUAAUAGAUCGACCUACUAGGUUUCAGUCAUUCGUAAGGUGGCUGUUUCCACAAUUGGGAGUGAGUGAACUUGAAAAAGCAAUAGUAAAUAUUUCAGCAGUUAUUGAAAAAAAUAGGGAAUAAAACCUCUGAUGCCAUUGCAGCUUUACAAGAGGAGGUUUCAGAAAUUGCUAAAAUAAGUACCCAAAACAGGAUGGCUCUAGAUAUGUUAUUGGCAUCUCAGGGAGGAGUAUGUACAGUAAUAAACACUAGUUGCUGUGUAUAUGUGGAUCAAAGCAGGAGAAUUUCUACCGAUCUAAAUGAAAUCUGGAAGCAGACUGAAAUCUUACAUGGGGUUCAGAAAGAUGAUACUUCUUUCGGAUUUGAAGAAACAUGGAAAUGGUUGACUUCCUGGUUCCCUGAUGUGAGCUCAUGGGUUAAAAAAUGUUUAACAAUUCUAGGAUUGGUGCUAGUAGUUUUUGUAUGCGUUUAUGUAGUGAUUCAAUGUAUUUCUAAGUGUUAUAUGAAACUAAUAUGGGAAAGAUUUUAAGAGAGUGAGACUAAUAUGAAAAUGAUCAUAUAAGUCUCAAAGGGGGGAAUUGUUACAAGACAACCCUGAGAAGCUCAGAAAGAAUGUUUGAAGUAGGUAGAUUUGGAUAACUUCUAUCUUAGAUAGAAUUUGCUUAGCAUGAGUAGCCGCACACUUGCUUAGCAUAAGUAGCUGAAUUUGCUGAAGCCUUAGGCCACACUCCCAGUUCGUUAAGAAAAGGCCUCAGGGCUGGUGCAGGCUGGAAAGAUAAGGGAGUUACAAGCAGUCUGCAUUCCUGUGCCCCACUCUCCAGAAGGGAGGAUGCCAAGGCUGAGAAAUAAGGCCUGUUUGGGCGCCAGGACCUUGGGAAGCAAAAAGCUUCCUCUCACUGUUAAAACAGUGAUGAUUAAGGGGUCUGGAUUAUGUCUUCUUCCUCAGGGCCUUGGAAGAUAACACCUACUGACCCAGCUGGGGCAGUGUUAAUUAAUUGACCAGGACCUUGAGAAGCAGGGGUGGGACCCAGGGAAAUGUGAAGAAAUCAUUAACCAAUCAGUGUGAAAGAGGAAGGAAGUCACAAAUAUGGCAAAUUUGAUUGUAUAAAUGCUACCUGAAAAGUUGGGGGGUGUGUGCUCGAUUUGUGGGAGACCACUGAGCACUCAGGCUUGUGCAACUCUGAAAUAAAUAAAUAAAUGUCUCUCCUGA